GGAACAGCGGCGAAAUCACCCAGCCCGGCCCAGCAGCUUGUUAACCACAUCGGAGUGCCGCGUCCGGUCAUUCCUCGAACACCUCCAAGCACGGUGGGGGGCCUGUGUUUCAUCAAAUCCAUAAGAAAAUGCCAGGUGCUUGAUUUCAGCCUCACAGAUGAACAUCCUUCCUCUGCUGAUGCUGUUCUUUCUCCAGAUGGACUGGAGGUUAGAAAAGCUGCAGAUCCUUGUUGAGAGCCCAGGAUGGCAGGAAAGUUCAAUCUGUUCAGCGUUCAAAGACCUCAAACAAAUAAACAAAUCAACCAAGACUUUAUUGAGGCAAAAUUCACCAUUUUUCUGA